rnacentral:lncRNA from 1 species
GGCAGACAUUUCAGUUACUGUUAUAGCAUUCGGUAAUAUAAUAAUUCAUAUACUUUUCCACUUUACUGAUUCAAAUGUUAGCUGAAUUAAGCCUUGUUUUUUAACAAUUCUAUCUUAUUGUACAUUUAAAGUAAAACCUAACAUUUAAGAUGUUUUGUUUUUUAGCAGUGGCAGGAACAGUGUCAUGCAUAUUAAGUCUUCACCGUGCAUCAGGUAGGUAUACAAAUUACUGUACUAUAGUAAUGCAGUUAGUCCUCAUGAAGGUCAGUAAUUUUAAGCUGCGUACACUCAAGUUUUCUCCACCUAUACAAACAGACAUUCCUAUAUAGCCUCAAAAUGUGAUCAAAAUAACAAGGUCAAUGUGCCUGUUUUCGAGAUAUUAGCUAUUGAAGUUUUUGGCGGGAAACUGUUCUCUCUUGAUUUUUCAUAGUUUAAUCAAGUUCAAGUUUUUAAAAAAAAUAAUAGAGUUUUUAAAAAAGCUGAUAAUUGUAUAUGUAAAUUAUUUAUAAAAAGAAAAGUGAGGGUUAAUGGGCAAAUUUAUUCAAAGCUAUCAAAUUCGAACUAUCGAAACAAAUAAAGUUUUGUUAAUUUAAUGGAAAUUAUGCAACGUCAUUAGUUCAGUCAAAAUCACUCAGUUUAAUGAGUUAAUCCAUAAUAUAAUAUUUAGAUUGCGACACUAUACUUCAGUGGUUAUGCAAUUUAAGGUCAUGAUAACCUUCGCAAAGUAUAUUUGAGUCUAGAUCUCUAAUUAUAUACGCAGGAUAUAAACAAUACUUGUACAAAAAUCUAAAAACAAAUGUUUUGAGAAAAUAAGGUCUCUUUAAUAGACCUUAAAUGAUUGGCAAAUGUUUAUACUGUUGUCAGAUAAAUAGUGUCUCAAGUCUCCAUAUAUCUUCUCUACUUUAUUCCAAAACUUAUAUGUUUUUUCUUUAUUAAAGCCAUAAUGUGCUAUGACUGUGAUGUAUUACCCCACCAAAGAGAUUGUACUAGGGUAACUAAGUGUGGUCCUGACGAGGUGAGUGAAAUUUUGGCGGAAAAAUGUACUCUCUUUAUUUUUCAUAGCAUUAUUAUUGACAAGUUACUGAGUGUGGUCCUGACCAGGUUAGUUAUCAUUACAUUUAGAUUCAUUAUAUCGCAGAUUUGGAUAAUAGAUAGGAUCAUUUACAAUUUUCAAUGAUUUUUUAAGUAAGCCGAAGCCCAACAUAUUUCAUAACAUGUAUUUUAAAAUAAUAAGCAGGAGUCGCUUUCACAAAAACACUUAUGACUUAGAUUGGUCUUUAGUCAUGAAAAAAUCAGUAUUCUAACAAUCAAUCUUUGUCGUAAGUGUUUUUGUGAAAUCGAAUCCAGUUCUUUAAAUCUUGAUCUUUAUGGCAAACGUGCCUUACCAGCGUAUAUUUAAGCAACAGUAGUUCCCAUAUUUUCAAAUCUUAUAAAAAUGAUACAAAUCCUGGUCAGAAACAAACAUUUGAGGAAAUUACAUGCGUAAAGAGAGGGGAAAGAUACAAGAGGAACAGUCAAACUGAUAUAUCGAAAAUAAACUAACAACGUCAUGGCAAAAAUAAUAAAAGACAAACACAAAUAAUAGUAAGCAAGACACAACAGAGGAAAUUAAAGACUGAGCAACACGAACUCCACCAUAGAUCAAAACACGCAAAAUGUCUAUAAACAUAACAUUGUUUAUAAACAACAUCGUAUAAAUUACUUGUGGUAACUAAAAUUUAAUUUUAAUGUUUUAUCUUAAAUUCUAAAGUUUUUAACUGUACAUAUUUUUUAAUAACGUGCGCCGAACUAAAUGAGUCAAUGUGAAUUUUUUAUAAAGUCCUAAAAUAAUAUUAAAUACUACUUUAGUAAAAUUAUAUUUACAUAUUAAUAAAAUAAUAUUCCAUAUUGAUAAAAUAAUAUUAUAUAAUAUUGCAUAUUAUAUAAUAAAUAAUGUUAUAUAAUAUUACAUAUUAUAUAGUUUUACAUAUUUAAUUGGUUAAUGAAUGCUAUGGUGAACUUGUGCAACAAACUUGAUUGGUUGAUUCAUUUUUUGUCCGGAUUUUUAUAUAACAUGUAAAUUACUAUAUGAACCGAGGAAAAAUCUGUUUUAUGUCAAAAAAUAAUUUUACAUAUCCAUGAUAUUAAUUAUGUUAUUCUAAUAAUUAAGGAAUGCUAUGGUGAACGUGUGCAAACACCUGAUGGGUUGAUCAAAUUCCAUUCAGGCUGUAUAAAGACAUCGGUAAAUCAUAUUU